UGUGCAAGUUAGGUGGAGCGAUCCCCCUUGCACCAGGGUGUACGCGCGUCACCAAUAGACACAUACCUGCUCUAUAUCCUUACUGGCUCUUGGGUCUGAUUUCCGCACGUCAAGAGCUGCUUGUGUCCUGGGAGGAGAGCGAGCCGUUCCCUGUGUCUGUCAGAGGAGUGAAGGUGCCAAAAUGCCGGCCCAGCUGGGCAGGCAACGCGCUGCCAAAGAGAGGGGAAGGAGAACUCCCGUCCUGCUUCUAGUAGUCCUUUCUGGUGAGUGUUCCCCACCCAGGGCCGUCCCAGCAGAGCCGGGGAGCGGGACUGUCCCACACAGCGUGUGCCUGCUGGGUCUGGAAGAGGAAAAUGGGACUGCGGGGCUCAGAGCAGUUUGAGCAAACUAACUGUCUCUCCCGACUGAUGUCCCCCACAGCUGGAGCCUU
rnacentral:lncRNA from 1 species